ensembl:lncRNA
GCACUGGCUCCCAGUAAGUUACAGGAUUGACUUUAAAGCACUGCUGCUUGUUUUCAAGUCACUUAAUGGGAUAGGGCCAAAGUAUCUAUCUGACAUGUUUCAGCAGUACGUACCACUCAGAUCUCUCAGAUCGCAGCAUAAAUUUCUAUUAGUAAAACCCACUGUCCAAACUAAACAGGGUGAAGCAGCACUUAGCCACUAUGCGGUUCACCUCUGGAACCAACUUCCAGAAGACAUUAAAAACGCUCCAACUACUUUCAGUUUUAAAUCUAGACUAAAGACCAAACUUUUCUCAGAUGCCUUCUGCUAACUGGCCAUGAACAGUUCCUUUGAAGUAUUAUUGCUUACUCUAGUAUACUAGUGAUUGUUAUUAUUCUUUUUAUGCUUUUAUUUCCUAUAUUUUACUAUUGUUAUGCCUUAAUGUUCUCAUGCUUUUAUUUUCUAUAAUUAACUGUUUUCAUGAUCAUGCACUGACCUUUUGCUUUUUUAAUUUUUUUUUUUAAUGUGAAGCACAUUGUUGUGCAUGUAUGUGAAGCACAUUGAAUGACCACGGUGUAUGAAUUGUGCUAUAUAAAUAAAAUUGCCUUGCCUUGCCUUGCCUUGGGUGAGGAGUUUCUGAAUUAUCAGACCAUGCCAACCACCUCCCUUCAGGACGAAACUGAGAUGGAAAGCCUCUGGGCUGGAAUAGCAACACGGAAACAUAAGGUGGCAGGAGCCAAAGAAUUUGAGAGGCUUGCUGCCGUCGCCAAGCUGGUCCUGGUGUUGCCCCAUUCGAAUGCAGAUGCUGAGAGGGUGUUUUCAGUUGUGGGACUGAACAAAACUAAGACCAGAAAUAGCCUGGCAUUGGAUGGCACCCUGUCUUUAAUAAUGGCCAUAAAGAUGGCCGACCUGGAGCCUUGUUUCAGAUGGGAGCCCCCCUCAGAGGUCAUCAAGGCCACCAAGAAGGCCACAGGCCAGUACAACCUUGCCCACAGAUCUUAGAAAAUGACUAACCAGGUUCUGAUCUGCAUUUGAUACCUCAUUUUUAGUUAUUUUUGUCAUGUGUUGAUCCAUUUUAUUGCUCAAAAAGGCUACUGUGUAAGCACUUUAUUUGUUGCACUUUUUUGUUUGAUGGAACGUGUGGUGGGAGGCUUUGAAUAAUGAAAAAUAUUUCUCCCUAACUAAUCUUGUGUCAUUUUUUGCUGGACAUAAAUCAUUAAGUGCUCUUAAAUUAAGUGCUCAUAAAUCAUUAAAUACAAUUAUUAACAAUAUAGGUUAGGUUUCAGUUAAGAAUUAGUUGAAUACCAUUGUAAUAAAAAUGUCAAUCAACCUACCUUGGUAAAAUCUUAAACACAGGUCUAUUAAUUAGGCUAUAUUGUGGUACAUAGACAGUCAUUGAGGCACAAGAAUAGUUUUCAGGUUGAAUGUUCAGCUCAAGUCUAAAAGGCCCUACAAGUCAUGAUCAGAUGAACAUGAAUCAGAAUAAGUUCAGGUAUUGCACAUCUUUAGCAUACCACCCAAAAAUCCACUAGAAUGCAGGA